UCAAAUGCUCAUCCUUGCUUAAAUUAAAUGUUUUCAGUUAUGUAUGAGCAACCUGAAGGCUCAGGCACGAACAAGGGGAAAGGAAAGCUGUUCGAAUGAGUUUAUAUUAUGAGUUAAUGGUUAUAGUUAGUAAGACAAUGGAAUCUAUUGUCAGGUAUUGUAAGGAAUGUAUUUGAAGGUCAUGUACCUAGGGAAAUAAACUUUGAUGUAUGUAAAUUAAGUUCGAAUGUAUUAUUAUUUAGUAUUAUUCAGCUUAAAGAAAUGAUAUCGUG
rnacentral:lncRNA from 1 species